rnacentral:rRNA from 1 species
AUUGAACGCUGGCGGCAGGCCUAACACAUGCAAGUCGAGCGAGCGGCGGACGGGUGAGUAAUGUCUGGGAAACUGCCUGAUGGAGGGGGAUAACUACUGGAAACGGUAUCUAAUACCGCAUACCAUCAGAUGUGCCCAGAUGGGAGUAGCUGGUAGGUGGGGUAACGGCUCACCUAGGCGACGAUCCCUAGCUGGUCUGAGAGGAUGACCAGCCACACUGGAACUGAGACACGGUCCAGACGCCUACGGGAGGCAGCAGUGGGGAAUAUUGCGCAAUGGGCGCAAGCCUGAGGCAGCCAUGCCGCGUGGGUGAAGAAGGCCGUCGGGUUGUAAAGCACUUUCAGCGGGGAGGCGUUACCCGCAGAAGAAGCACCGGCUAACUCCGUGCCAGCAGCCGCGGUAAUAC